UCCGCAAAUACUCACAAUUUGGGGUUAGGUUAAUAUCACACAUAGGUGCGAUACGCUGUCUUUAUUAAUUCCCACAACUGUAAACAUGAAAACGGUGCCAACAGUUUAGUUUCUGUCGGACUACAUUUCCCAUGAUUCCACACCGGAACUGACAAUUCUGCCAGGAAACAUGAGGAGAGUGACCCGGCGACCCUGUGAGGAUGGCCCGCUGCUGGAAGAGCAGGAGACCGAGGGCCAGCGGCAGCUGCAUGGCCUCUUGCUGCAGCAGCUCCACACUGACGUCGACAUUGAACGAUGUGUAGCCAAGAGGCAGUGCUUCGCCCCAGCGGCGCUUUAUCGGCCGUUUGGGGAGCAGGCAGCGGGAGUGAAGAGUCUCUCCCAGUUCCAAGCCCUGCAGGAUGGGGAGAAGGAACUGGCCAGCCUGCGGGAGCUGGGCCUGAAUGACACCGAGAUCCAGCUGUGGCAGAGCAGAGAUGCACCAGAGACAGCAGAGAAGUCCCACGGUGUGUGCGCAGCUCCAGGUGCAAAGGAAGAGCGCCUGCAGGCAAUUAAAGACAAAAUCGCCGCCCGGAUGGAGCUUCUGUCCCGCCCACAACGCUUUGCGUCCAGCCGGCCGCUGUCACGCCGGGAGAUGGAGAUUGAACAAGCCCUGUUUCAUGGGAAUGACCGCCUGGGUUUCCUCACAGCGCUCUAUCAUCGAGAUGAAGAUAAGAAGGAGAACCAACAGGGGGCGUCAUCCUCUGACCCACUGGACUCUAUCUAUAGAGAAGUUCUCAGGGAGCAGGAGGUGAAACAAGCUUCACAACACAAAUCUGAGGGAGAACCGACAGGAGCGCCACACACAGCUGAAUCUGACCAAUCACAAAACCAACAGACAGACAGAAAUCAAUCAAGAGACACUUCUGACAGUCCGUCAGACCUGCAGGCUGGAAACAGUCGCUCAUCCGUCCAGACAGACUCAGUUUCAGACACCUCAAAUCAGCAUGUUCAAAACAAACCAGAGCAUCUGCGACUGGCUCCUCCGAGACAGAUUAAUAUAAGCCAGCCAAUCAGCAGCUUGUGCGGAACAGCAAAGGUGGGGCCAAGCAGACCACUGACUGUGACGGGGGAGAUUGAGACAAUUACAGAUGAAGAAAUCCUAAAGAACCGGGAAUCAGAAGAAGGGAUCCGGAGCAUUCCAAGGUUCCGAAACUACCAGCCGGGGAAACCCUCCAAGGUCUCAGCAGCUACCUUUGUAAACCUCACACUUUCACGAUGAUCCUGAAAGAUCAGUUCCUUUAUCUUUAGGGCAGCUGUGGCACCAAAUGAUUAUUUCCACAGUUUCUGCUCUCAGCACUUCCCAGAUUGUUGUUUCUAUCUAACAUAAAGGCAUUACAUCAUCUGAAAGUGUGCACAUCCACCUCUGCGUGUGGUGUAUUUAUUCCCUGUUCCCCAUAAGGAUAACAUUAAAGGCACAGUGAAGCUGUAUGUUGGCUGCACAGUAGCGCUGCUAAAAUGACACAUUAAAAUGGAACAAAUCAUCUCACAGCAAUUAACAACCUUUAAGAUGUGCAGGUUGAGAGGCACUCACUUGUAAAUUGAGCUUGAUGAUAAUUGUUGUAUACUGUAAUUAUAGUUUCCUGCGAGCACAUCCAAGCUGCAGCUGGAAACAGAGGGCCACAUCCUGGUCCUGUGUGUGAAGAACCUGAGCCCACAGGCGUCAGUGGCCCAGCUGGUGGCGCUGUU